rnacentral:lncRNA from 1 species
UGCUCCUCAACAUGCUUCAUGAUUCCAUAUUACUAAACCUCUUUGUCAAGGCAGAUUGAAUGCAGAUAAAAGUAUUUACUUCUCCAACGGUACAGAUAGGAAGCCAUCUGCAAAUGUUAGCUUGACAGCCUUUAUCACACGAUGAUAUAAAUCAAGGACGGUCGUGUAAGACAAUAUGAAUUAGAACACUUUGUUCAUAACUGAAGCAAUAGUGUGCAAUUUUUAAACUAUAGCUUCAUGGAUGAUUUUAAAUUCAGGUACCUAAUUGACCGGAAAAUUUCAAGCUGGUAGCAUACAAAUGUUUCUGCUUCUUCCAACUCAUUUCAUUUUGGAGUAGCAUAUGUGCCUUUAUUUCUCUUUUUUGCAUAUUUGAAUUUGAGAUUUUUAUGCAUCAUGUACAAUGCAGAUCAGAUCAUGUCUUCUGAUGUUUAGUCAAAGAUAAUUGUUAGAUAAUUCGAUCUAAAUUUAAGGGUAUGCAAAUAAAAUGUUUUUAAUUUAGCAAGGAUUUCAGGUUUCAAAAGAAACUAUAUAAUUCACUUCAAAUGAGGAGACAAGCGAUGAGAGGCUCUGGAAACAGAUUCUAACUUUACCAGACUGAAUUUACUAAACUAAUUCAAGGGACUCCAAUAAUUCAAGAUGCUGCAAAAUUUGGGAAUGUUGAAUUUCUGACUCUGCUAACUCGCUCAUAUCCUGAUCUUCUAUGGAAAGUCGAG